CCUGCGAAUCCUAGAGCAAUCAGAAUAUCAGGGGCCCCCGUAAUGUACGGAGGCAGAGGGAGAGGGCUCCGGCCCCCUCGGCGUCAUGUCUUCGGUGCCGACGGUUGCCAGUCCGCCGGUUCUAUCCUCAAGCGCCAGGACACGG
rnacentral:snoRNA from 1 species